UGGCCAAAGAGGGCAAAGGAUAUGAAGCCUAGAUCUGGGGGGAUACUGCAAAACAGAGACAGGACUUUGGACUUAUAGCUAUAGCAGCAGGCCCUGAUCUGUCCAGAUCUCUCCACUCUCCUUCUACCUUCUCAUGCAGGAGGCCUUGGGUCCAGAGACCCUGGAGCGGCUUCUAGAAAAGCAGCAGAGUUGGGAGCAGAGCAGAGUUGGACAGCUGUGUAGGGGGCCACAGCUUGCUGCCAAGAAAGCAGCCCUGGUAGCAGGGGUGGUGCGACCAGCUGCUGAGGAUCUUCCAGGUGAAACUACCCAAAUACUUAUAUGUCCAGCAGGAUGUAUAGGGAGUAUCAAACGGUCUGGGUUCUACAUGUGCUCUUCCCUGGGACUGGGUUUUCUAAUUUAUAAAGCAAAGAGUUUAGAGGGAUGAUCUUCAAGCCUCUUGUAGUUCUAGAAUUCUGUAGUUCUGGGAGUUUGUAAACUAUCAAGUUUUCUUUUAGCCCAGAACUUCCAUUUUCCUGCUCUCUCGUGUCUGCUCUAGACUCAGCUCUAGCUUGGCUAAGUGUGGAGCUCUCUGCUGGGGAGAUCCCUAGAAGCUUUGAAGGAGACAUUGUGAGGCUGGAGAACUGGGUUCAAAUUCAGUGCUACCAUUAAAUCCCUGAAUAACAUCCUCAGUCUUCCAUCUAUAAAAGUCUUGGCAUCUCCAAUCACUUCUUGUUCUAUUAUCUCCUAAGCCCUAUACAUAUUACUCUGUAAUACUCCUUUGAUCCCUAUUUCUCACAGUGCUCCAUCCUCCAAAGGUUGGAAGACUCAUUCUAUCUACAGAUAUCUCUCUGGGCAUAUUUUAUUACUACGCUGACCUCCUGGCCCUGCCUUCCCCCUUCAGAACCUGUGCCAAAUUGUGCAGAUGUACGAGGGACAUUCCCAGCAGCCUGGUCUGCAACCCAGAUUGCAGAGAUGGAGCUCUCAGACUUUGAGGACUGCCUGACAUUAUUUGCAGGAGACCCAGGACUUGGGCCUGAGGAACUGCGGGCAGCCAUGGGCAAAGCAAAACAGUUGUGGGGUCCCCCCCGGCGAUUUCGUCCUGAGCAGAUCCUGCAGCUCGGUAGGCUCUUAAUAGGUCUAGGAGAUCGGGAACUACAGGAGCUGAUCCUAGUGGACUGGGGAGUGCUGAGCACCCUGGGGCAGAUAGAUGGCUGGAGCUCCACUCAGCUCCGCAUUGUGGUCUCCAGUUUCCUACGGCAGAGUGGUCGGCAUGUGAGCCACCUGGACUUCGUUCAUCUGACAGCGCUGGGUUAUACUCUCUGUGGACUGCGGCCAGAGGAGCUCCAGCACAUCAGCAGUUGGGAGUUUAGCCAAGCGGCUCUCUUCCUCGGCACCCUGCAUCUCCAGUGCUCUGAGGAACAACUGGAGGUUCUGGCCCACCUACUUGUACUGCCUGUGGGUUUGGCCCAAUCAGUAACUGGGGCCUGAGAUCUUCACUGAAAUUGGCACCAUAGCAGGUGGGGAGCUGGGCCACUGCUGGUGCAAGUGGUUUGGUUCUAUACCAUGGGUGGACUGGAUGGAAGACUGCCCUGCAAUUCUUCAGGUGUGGGCCUGAGAGGGUGUUUAAAUAAGGGGCUAGAGACAUAGUUGGGGAAGGUCUAUGAUAGGGCACUUUGGGAGUAGUUAGAGAAGGUCUAUAGGUUUGAAGAGAGGGAAGGUCAGUCUAAGACAAUGUUUGGAUGCCACUUGCUUCAACAGCUGGGAUCCCAGACCUGGCUCUUUCAGCACUGCUGCGGGGACAGAUCCAGGGUGUUACUCCUCUUGCCAUUUCUGUCAUCCCUCCUCCUAAAUUUGCUGUAGGUAUUAAUGGACUGGGGUGACCACAGGAGAGCCAGGGCCCAAUGGGGACUACAUGCAUGCACUGAUUCCUACCCCUGCCCUCAGGUGGUGUUUAGUCCCAUCCAACUAUCUAGUCUCACCAGUGCUCAGGCUAUGGCUGUCACUCCUGAGCAAAUGGCCUUUCUGAGUCCUGAGCAGCGACGAGCAGUUGGAUGGGCCCAACAUGAGGGGAAGGAGAGCCCAGAACAGCAAGGUGAGUUCCCAGCUGCACAGCUUGAUCCUCCAUCUCCUGACCCAGAAUCAAACCCCUAAUUUGGUGCUGUCUGGCUCUUAGAGUGCACCCAGGGAGAUCCCUGGAGUGAAGGAGUCUACAGGCAGAGCGCUAAUUUCCAAGUAUCAAUGCUCCUGGAGAGCUGAGUUGUGAUAUUACUCCCAUUCCCUGUCUAUUAUAGGUCGAAGUACAGCCUGGGGCCUCCAGGACUGGUCACGACCUUCCUGGUCCCUGGUAUUGACUAUCAGCUUCCUUGGCCACCUGCUAUGAGCCUGUCUCUACAGUAGAAGGAGAUUGUGGGGAGAGAAAUCUUAAGUCAUAAUGAAUAAAGUGCAAACAGAAGUGCAUCCUGAUUAUUUUCAGAAGCUGAUGAGGAAUAUGGGUAAAAUGUUAAUGCUUUCCACCCACCUGAGAAUCAGUGUUCCUGGGUUGCCAUAUCUGGAGUCUCUUUCCAUCAUAAAUAAUCCCACUGCCUCUUUUCAUUUCCUGAAGGCUGCUCCCUCCUCACCCCACCAUUAGAAGUAACACAGACAGCUGCAGCAUAGCAAGGAGUCUUUACUAGGAUGGAGGCAGGGGAUGCGGGGGCAGAUCCAGAGCAAGUAGAAUGGGCCAUCAUUAGAAUGAGCAGAACUCCUGGGAAUCUUGAGUCAUCAGCUGGCGAUGGGGAGUUAAUGCUUGGUGUGGAUGACAGGUGUGGGGAUGCGGAUAUCCUGGCCUCUCUCCAGACGCCGUUCACAAUCAAUCAAAUAGUUUACUCCAUUGAUGACCAGUUGCACCAGCUCCACCUAAGGGACACUAAUCUUUGAUCUGCUUCCUACAGUCUGAGUUUUUCUUUAGCACUGACUGACUUGCCUGCUCAUUUCCAAUUGCCUCCCCACUCAACCUGAAUUUCAUUUCAGAUUAUGUUACAUCCCGGAGGCUCACUCACUGCCAUAUUUCGGCCCUCGCAGACCUAUACCUCUCCUCAUCCUAAUCCCUUAGGAUCUCACCUCUGAUUUGCCUAGUCGGUCCAAAUUAGAAAUAUCAAAGACACCGCCUGUGGCAGCAGUGUCCACUCCUCCAGUACCACGCUUUUGGAGUCUUAGGUUCUCCAGGAUCUUUGGGAAGCGGCUAUCCUAGAGAGGAGAUAGGGAUUGGGAGCAGGGUCAAUAAAGGCAGAGACUAGUCCU
ensembl:lincRNA